rnacentral:rRNA from 1 species
AUCUUAGUACCCGGAGGAAGAGAAAGAAAAUUCGAUUCCCUUAGUAGCGGCGAGCGAAACGGGAAGAGCCCAAACCAACAAGCUUGCUUGUUGGGGUUGUAGGACACUCUAUACGGAGUUACAAAGGACGACAUUAGACGAAUCAUCUGGAAAGAUGAAUCAAAGAAGGUAAUAAUCCUGUAGUCGAAAAUGUUGUCUCUCUUGAGUGGAUCCUGAGUACGACGGAGCACGUGAAAUUCCGUCGGAAUCUGGGAGGACCAUCUCCUAAGGCUAAAUACUCUCUAGUGACCGAUAGUGAACCAGUACCGUGAGGGAAAGGUGAAAAGCACCCCGGAAGGGGAGUGAAAUAGAACCUGAAACCGGGUGCUUACAAGUAGUCAGAGCCCGUUAAUGGGUGAUGGCGUGCCUUUUGUAGAAUGAACCGGCGAGUUACGAUUUGAAGCAAGGUUAAGCAGUAAAUGUGGA